rnacentral:rRNA from 1 species
GGACCCCAGGAUGGGGAGGCCACCCGCCGAGUUUAAG